rnacentral:rRNA from 1 species
UACGUAGGAGGCGAGCGUUGUCCGGAGUUACUGGGCGUAAAGGGUGCGUAGGCGGCCGCGCGCGUGGCGGGUGAAAUCUCCCGGCUUACCCGGGAGGGGGCUUUCCAGACGGCGUGGCUUGAGGGACGGAGAGGGGCGUGGAAUUCCGGGUGGAGCGGUGAAAUGCGUAGAGAUCCGGAGGAACACCGACGGCGUAGGCAGCGCCCUGGCCGUUUCCUGACGCUGAAGCACGAAAGCUGGGGGAGCGAAUGGG